GUGCGCGCGCGCGUGUGCGUGGGAAUGUCAUUUGACGCUCUGACGUGUAUGUACUGUGCUUUCACUUGCAAAUACCUCGGUACAGCGAGGAGGUGAAGCACUUGCAGUCGUCCAUUCUGCUGCAUGUCGUUGUGUGGGGGCUGCCACGGUGCCGAGGAAACUCAAAGCAAGCCAAGUGCCUCCUCUUGUCAUGCUGGCCUGUAGCGCGCACUGGGCAUUAGUUACGUAAAUCCUGUCGAACUGCAACCAGCCACAAGAUAGUAAACAUAUGACGUCACUGCCAAGGAGUGGAGCAGGAGGGGGGAUGAGGAGCGUUCCGCAAAUGUAGGUCAGUGCUUCAGUCCUGCAGAGAAGGCCUUGAUGACCCUGACAGCUGACACCGCUGGACCCAAUGUGGGCUCACUAUUUGGCAUACAAGGGAGGCUUGCUCAUCUUAUUUUACGUGGAUGACUUCCCUGCUACUAAUUACCAAUGUAUCACGCAUUUCUAACCCCUUUUUUGCUUAUAGUGGAGGAAGAUUUACAUGACUGCCAUGGUGGAACUGUGGUAUAUCAAUGGAAUGCCAUGAAUUCAUUGCUGGGAUAUAAAAGUCAGCAUGUGAUGGAAAGGCAGAGAGGCAUUGAAGCGGCAGCAGGCUGGCAGAGAAGCCAAGGCCAGCGCAGUUUGAAAGUGCUUGCCAAAGGAGCAGCUCGUCAACCUCUGAAGAGCCUCUUAUCUGCUUGUAAUUUGGAGUGUUUGGCACAGUGAUCUUCUCCAUCCCCGA